rnacentral:rRNA from 1 species
AUUGAACGCUGGCGGCAGGCCUAACACAUGCAAGUCGAGCGGAUGAAGGGAGCUUGCUCCUGGAUUCAGCGGCGGACGGGUGAGUAAUGCCUAGGAAUCUGCCUGGUAGUGGGGGAUAACGUCCGGAAACGGGCGCUAAUACCGCAUACGUCCUGAGGGAGAAAGGGGGGGAUCUUCGGACCUCACGCUAUCAGAUGAGCCUAGGUCGGAUUAGCUAGUUGGUGGGGUAAAGGCCUACCAAGGCGACGAUCCGUAACUGGUCUGAGAGGAUGAUCAGUCACACUGGAACUGAGACACGGUCCAGACUCCUACGGGAGGCAGCAGUGGGGAAUAUUGGACAAUGGGCGAAAGCCUGAUCCAGCCAUGCCGCGUGUGUGAAGAAGGUCUUCGGAUUGUAAAGCACUUUAAGUUGGGAGGAAGGGCAGUAAGUUAAUACCUUGCUGUUUUGACGUUACCAACAGAAUAAGCACCGGCUAACUUUGUG